UUGAACGCUGGCGGCAUGCCUUACACAUGCAAGUCGAACGGCAGCACGGACUUCGGUCUGGUGGCGAGUGGCGAACGGGUGAGUAAUACAUCGGAACGUGCCUAGUAGUGGGGGAUAACUACUCGAAAGAGUGGCUAAUACCGCAUGAGAUCUACGGAUGAAAGCAGGGGAUCGCAAGACCUUGUGCUACUAGAGCGGCCGAUGGCAGAUUAGGUAGUUGGUGGGAUAAAAGCUUACCAAGCCAACGAUCUGUAGCUGGUCUGAGAGGACGAUCAGCCACACUGGGACUGAGACACGGCCCAGACUCCUACGGGAGGCAGCAGUGGGGAAUUUUGGACAAUGGGCGAAAGCCUGAUCCAGCAAUGCCGCGUGCAGGAUGAAGGCCUUCGGGUUGUAAACUGCUUUUGUACGGAACGAAAAGCUUCGGGUUAAUACCCUGGAGUCAUGACGGUACCGUAAGAAUAAGCACCGGCUAACUACGUGCCAGCAGCCGCGGUAAUACGUAGGGUGCAAGCGUUAAUCGGAAUUACUGGGCGUAAAGCGUGCGCAGGCGGUUUUGUAAGACAGAGGUGAAAUCCCCGGGCUCAACCUGGGAACUGCCUUUGUGACUGCAAGGCUAGAGUACGGCAGAGGGGGAUGGAAUUCCGCGUGUAGCAGUGAAAUGCGUAGAUAUGCGGAGGAACACCGAUGGCGAAGGCAAUCCCCUGGGCCUGUACUGACGCUCAUGCACGAAAGCGUGGGGAGCAAACAGGAUUAGAUACCCUGGUAGUCCACGCCCUAAACGAUGUCAACUGGUUGUUGGGUCUUCAUUGACUCAGUAACGAAGCUAACGCGUGAAGUUGACCGCCUGGGGAGUACGGCCGCAAGGUUGAAACUCAAAGGAAUUGACGGGGGCCCGCACAAGCAGCGGAGCAUGUGGUUUAAUUCGAAGCAACGCGAAGAACCUUACCAGGUCUUGACAUCCUUUGACCACUCUAGAGAUAGAGCUUCCCCUUCGGGGGCAAAGUGACAGGUGGUGCAUGGUUGUCGUCAGCUCGUGUCGUGAGAUGUUGGGUUAAGUCCCGCAACGAGCGCAACCCUUGCCAUUAGUUGCUACGAAAGGGCACUCUAAUGGGACUGCCGGUGACAAACCGGAGGAAGGUGGGGAUGACGUCAAGUCCUCAUGGCCCUUAUAGGUGGGGCUACACACGUCAUACAAUGGCUGGUACAAAGGGUUGCCAACCCGCGAGGGGGAGCUAAUCCCAUAAAGCCAGUCGUAGUCCGGAUCGCAGUCUGCAACUCGACUGCGUGAAGUCGGAAUCGCUAGUAAUCGUGGAUCAGCAUGUCACGGUGAAUACGUUCCCGGGUCUUGUACACACCGCCCGUCACACCAUGGGAGCGGGUCUCGCCAGAAGUAGGUAGCCUAACCGCAAGGAGGGCGCUUACCACGGCGGGGUUCGUGACUGGGGUG
rnacentral:rRNA from 1 species